GACGUAGGGGUCCAGCGUUGUUCGGAAUUACUGGGUGUAACGGGUUUGUAGGCGGUGCGGCAAGUCGGGAGUGAAAUCUCUGGGCUUAACCCAGAGGCUGCUUCCGAAACUGCUGUGCUUGAGUGUGGGAGAGGCGCGUGGAAUUGCAGGUGUAGCGGUGAAAUGCGUAGAUAUCUGCAGGAACACCCGUGGCGAAAGCGGCGCGCUGGACCACUACUGACGCUGAGGAACGAAAGCGUGGGGAGCAAACAGG
rnacentral:rRNA from 1 species